UGUUUAGCUUAAUUUUUAAUCUUUUUCAAGCUUUUUUAAAUUUUAUUCUUCUGAGAGCUUACAAAAUAAGCGCUGCUUUCUUUAUUUUAUUCGUCGUAAUGCUUUUCGGGAAUUUAAUAUUAUCUUUGAUUUAUUUUCGUUACUGCUGGGACUUGUCAACUUUUUUCUAUAGAACCAUUUAGUUCAGACAAGCCGUAAAAAGAAUAUUUCCAGGAGCCAGCAAGAUUUAAAAAACGAGCUUUGAUGGCCUACGAAGGCAAUAAGUCUAAAUGGGAAAUCGAAAGACAAAUGGUGGUGAAGGAAGUCGUGUCGCAACAGGUGGAUUUGGUUCUCGUCAUUAUCCAAUUGGAGCAGGAUGAAUGAUAAAGUUGGAUACGGUUUUCUUCGCGGGACGAAAACAGCACCUUUGGAUGGGUCAAAGCUGGUGGUCUGAAUGUGAUAGGGACUCGCCGUUUUCUCUGGUUGACCGUAAGACGGAGCUGCAAUGCCACAACAUGGUGAGAACUCGGGUGAAAACACCAGGAGUGGAAGUCUUCUUGCCUGGAUUCUCGCCGAAUCCCAAGAGUAUGGAUGAUAUUGGUGACCGUCUUCGCGCUGCGAAUAUUUUACUUGGCAUGAUCUCGGGCAUAAGUAUUUAUAUCUCGUCUAUAUGGGACAAUAA